AAACUUCGCAAUGCGCGAAAGCGUGACGAGGCUAGUCCGAGUGCUUCCCGCUGAGGGGGGCUUUUCUCGGCUGUAAAUAGGCCGGGGAAUAAGGGGAGGGCAAGUCUGGUGUCAGCCGCCGCGGUAAUACCAGCUCCUCGAGUGGUCGGGACGAUUAUUGGGCCUAAAGCACCCGUAGCCGGUUCAGUGAGUCCUCUGUCAAAUCCAACCGCUCAACGGUUGGGCCGCAGGGGAUACUGCUGGACUAGGAGGCGGGAGAGGCGGACGGUAUUCCGCGUGUAGGGGUAAAAUCCUUUGAUCCGCGGAGGACCACCAGUGGCGAAGGCGGUCUGCCAGAACGCGCUCGACGGUGAGGGGUGAAAGCUGGGGGAGCGAACCGG
rnacentral:rRNA from 1 species